rnacentral:rRNA from 1 species
UUUUCUGGUUGAUCCUGCCGGAGGUUACUGCUAUCGGUGUUCGCCUAAGCCAUGCGAGUCAUAUGUUCUUCGUGAACAUGGCGUACUGCUCAGUAACACGUGGAUAACCUGCCCUUGGGUCUGGGAUAACCCCGGGAAACUGGGGAUAAUACCGGAUAACGCAUAUAUGCUGGAAUGCUUUAUGCGUAAAAUGGAUUCGUCUGCCCAAGGAUGGGUCUGCGGCCUAUCAGGUAGUAGUGGGUGUAAUGUACCUACUAGCCUACAACGGGUACGGGUUGUGAGAGCAAGAGCCCGGAGAUGGAUUCUGAGACAUGAAUCCAGGCCCUACGGGGCGCAGCAGGCGCGAAAACUUUACAAUGCGGGAAACCGUGAUAAGGGGACACCGAGUGCCAGCAUCAUAUGCUGGCUGUCCAGAUGUGUAAAAAUACAUCUGU